AACGAACGCUGGCGGCGUGGAUAAGACAUGCAAGUCGAACGGGAUUUUUUCCUGUAGCAAUACAGGAAAAAGUCUAGUGGCGAACGGGUGCGUAACACGUGAGCAACCUGCCGUGAAGUGGGGGAUGGCUCGCCGAAAGGCGAAUUAAUACCGCAUGUGGCCAAGGAAGACAUCUUCCUGACGCCAAAGCCGGGGCAACCUGGCGCUUCUCGAGGGGCUCGCGGCCUAUAAGCUUGUUGGUGAGGUAACGGCUCACCAAGGCUAUGACGGGUGGCUGGCCUGAGAGGACGACCAGCAGAACUGGAACUAAGACACGGUCCAGACACCUACGGGUGGCAGCAGUCGAGAAUUUUUCACAAUGGGGGAAACCCUGAUGGAGCGACGCCGCGUGGAGGAUGAAGGUUUUCGGAUUGUAAACUCCUGUCAUUAGAGAACAAGGCACACGGUUUAACUGGCCGUGUGUUGAUAGUAUCUGAAGAGGAAGAGACGGCUAACUCUGUGCCAGCAGCCGCCGUAA
rnacentral:rRNA from 1 species